rnacentral:snRNA from 1 species
AACUUUGUGCAGUGGCAGUAUCAUAGCCAAUGAGGUUUAUCUGAGGUGCGAUUAUUGCUAAUUGAAAAGCAAAGGAAAUCUAUUAAACUUACUAAGAUAUUAUCAUCUACAUCCCUGUG